rnacentral:pre_miRNA from 1 species
UCUUUCAGUGUUGAAACAAUCUCUAAUGAGCCAAGCUCCAAACCAAGUUCACUGGGGUUUGUUUCAAUAUUGCAAGAA